GAUGAACGCUGGCGGCGUGCCUAAUACAUGCAAGUCGAGCGAACGGACGAGAAGCUUGCUUCUCUGAUGUUAGCGGCGGACGGGUGAGUAACACGUGGAUAACCUACCUAUAAGACUGGGAUAACUUCGGGAAACCGGAGCUAAUAACGGAUAAUAUUUUGAACCGCAUGGUUCAAAAGUGAAAGACGGUCUUGCUGUCACUUAUAGAUGGAUCCGCGCUGCAUUAGCUAGUUGGUAAGGUAACGGCUUACCAAGGCAACGAUGCAUAGCCGAUCUGAGAGGGUGAUCGGCCACACUGGAACUGAGACACGGUCCAGACUCCUACGGGAGGCAGCAGUAGGGAAUCUUCCGCAAAGGGCGAAAGCCUGACGGAGCAACGCCGCGUGAGUGAUGAAGGUCUUCGGAUCGUAAAACUCUGUUAUUAGGGAAGAACAUAUGUGUAAGUAACUGUGCACAUCUUGACGGUACCUAAUCAGAAAGCCACGGCUAACUACGUG
rnacentral:rRNA from 1 species